UUGAUAGCUCAGUUGGUAGAGCAACGGACUGAAAAUCCGUGUGUCGCCGGUUCGAUUCCUGCUCAA
rnacentral:tRNA from 2 species